UUUCUAGGGGUGGGUUUAUAAAAUUGAUUUUUCGAUUCGAAUCAAUCUUUAUUUGAACGAUCCGAUAUCGAUUCAUAUAAACUCGAGAUCGAUCUUUUAAAUACGCCCCUUUUUUACGGUGCACACGGAAAUCUGUUACCCCCUUUAAUCUCGCGUGACCAGCCAGUGUUUUUUUGCGCAACGAGAUCUGACCUGCACAUCAGUUCAGCAUGGCAGAAGCUCAAGUUAUGCCUGGUUCACACUACAUGAUUCUAGCCCUGAUUUUCGCUCGGUGACGGGUCGGUGCUGGAUUCGGGAGGAACUCGGUGUUCGCUCUGCGAUCAAAACUCGGCUCUCAAUCAAUGGAAGAGGUUUAGGAGUCAAACAGAGGACGGCGUGGAUGAACCAGAUAACCGUCUCAAUAAUUCUCCAAGUAAGUAAAAACUAAAUUCUUACUAACCCACUAAAAUCUAUUAAUGCUUUAAUGUCGUCAUCCCAUCCAGGGUAUUCCUGCCUUGCACCCAGUCUUUUCUGGUGAAACCAGACCAUCCGCGACCCUGACCAGGACGACAAUAAAAAAAUUCAAAACUACGGCAAUCAUUUAUUAAUCUGUAAUUGAGCAACACAGACGGGUCACGUUUAAUACAUGACAGUAAAAAGAAGAAUGUGUGAUGUGUUACUUCCCUUAAAUCUUUAUUUAACUGAUAAAAGUACAAAGAAAAGAUUCUUAAUGUUUCACUGAUCAACCUCAUUCUAGUUUGUAAAUAGAAACACGUUUAGAAUUUGAUGCUGUAACUCCAAAAAAGUCAGGACGGGGGUGUGUUCCCUACCAAGUCCCAUCAGCAUUUUUAUUAAUGAGACUUUUUAAUGCGUCUGGAACUGAGGACACUGAUUGUUGCAGUGUUUCUUGUGGAUCUGGACUGCAGGCAGGCUGGUCAAGCACACACACACUCUGUGUCUAGGAAGCCGCACUGUUGUAGUGCAGGCAGAAUGAGGCCUGGUAUCACCGUGCUAAAAUAACUACAGACUUCCCAAGAAAAGAUGCCUUGAUGGUAACUUGUAUCUUUGUUAAGUCCCAAAACCCUUCUCCACUUCAACAUUCUGUAACUUUUAUUGGAAUGUGUUAUAGGCAUCAAAUUCAGGGUUUGGGUUUCAAUAAUUCGGUCAAAGAAAAGAAACCAUUGCAGAAAAUUAUUUAAAGUGUAGUACUGUCAUGAUAUGUGUGCUGUGACAAAUUAUCUGCCCCUUGUCUUAUAUUACACUUUUUUAAGAGGUGCAAAAAAACUAAAAGUUGCAAAUAUGCAAAAAUAAAAUAAACCAGUAAGGACACAAAUUCCUUUUUACGAUAAUGUGUUCCCUACCAGUGUUUGCAAAGCUUUGACCUUCAACUGCAGUAGCCAGUGUACAAAUGAAAAUCUGAUACACUGUGUAAACAACUACAUUAUCUACAUUUCAACAGAUCUCAAGACCUUAUCCACCAUGGCCAAACUGGAAGACUGGGUCUCUGAUCCUGAAAACAGCCAGAAACUGAUUGAUGACCUGGAGAAGAAGCUCAAACAGGGUGAAAUUGAGGCUUUGAAAGAUUCUCUGAAGGAUAAGAAGCUGAAAAAGAGUCUGUGUCUCACUGCUAAAGAGAUUAACGAGAUCAGACGUAAUCUAAAUAAUAAUAAUAAUAAAUAAGCGGUUUUAAAG